GGAGGUAACGGCCCUGCCACACUCGGCACUGGCCAGACCCCGUCUAGAUUAGAGUUUUGUUUAGCUCUGGGCAUAGGUAACCAUGGGGAUCUUAAAUGUCAUGGUGGAACAAAAAUACUGAACCCUGAAAUUAUAUGGGGGUAGUGAUGCUUAGGUAAAAGAUUCCAGUCUCCAGCCUCCCUAUCUGGCCAAUGAAUUACAUGGACCACUUAUGGACCACAGCCAGGAAUUCCAGUGUGGAAUCGGAGGUCUUCGUGGCUUGGGGCAGAAAAUACUCCUAAUUCUAGAUCCUGUAGGAAAAUGUAAGAAGUGAUGAAGAGCAAAAAGACCCUGAUCUUUCCUUCCUUUUUCUCUCUAUGCCGCGUCUCUUCCUCUCUUCUUUUUUUUUAAAAUAUAAUAGCUUUAUUAAAAUAUAAUGCACAGACAUACAAUCCACCCAUUUAAAGUGUGCAAUUCAGUGGUUUUUACUAUUUUCACAGAGUUGUGUAACCAUUACCACAUUGAAUUUUAGAACAUUUUUUAGCAUCUCCAAAAAGAAACCGUACACCCAUUAGCAAUCACUCCAAAUUUCUCCCCAACACUCUCCAGCCCUAGGCAAUCAUUAAUCUACAGAAAUAGUACGAUGGCUGCAGCAUUUUACAUUUC